rnacentral:piRNA from 1 species
UCCCAUCUUGAAUGAUUUCUGGGAAGGAGU